AACUUCGAGUAGGGAGAAGCAACGGGGAUUGCAAUGACUUGGAAAGCAACAGUGCAGCAGAAGCGGAUAGGAUCGAGGGAGGGACGUCUGGAAGUGAAGCUGGAGACGACAAAGCUUCUGGCUGCGUGAAACGUGCCAUCUGACCGCGUCCGGCAUGGAUUGUUCCCACCUAGGAGUCUUGGACCUACUCCCCACCCACCUCCCUACAGAGAGGAAAAGAGCGCGCCUCUUUUGGCUUCGGUCGAUGUGGUAGAGGUAUCGAAAUCACUCCUUUUCGGUUGAUUUUGCUAAUCUUUGGGGAAAGUUCUAAUCGUGGGCAGCAAGAGAAAGAAGCGGAAGAGGGGAAGGAGAAGGUGGAGCAGGGGGAGCCAAGUGAGGAUGGAGGUGGCAAUGGAGACGUAAAGGGGGGGAGGAAAGAAGGCAUCCGAUAAGCCCCCGGAGAAGGUGGUGAUGAAGGUCUACAGGCGCUGCGAGGUGCGCUCGAGGAAGGUGUUUGGAUUGGAAGGCGAAGCAGGUGUGUGCUUCCCAAUACUGCUUUGCAUGAACUUAUACUCGUAGGGUAUUCCUCGGUUUCACCUGUUGUCAUGCUUGUGAGGGACUCAAGCAAAUUAGACUGUCGGCAUUCCCUGCGGUACUCAAGUGUCAUGCUGGUGAGAUGAUAGUCCUCUAGCACAUUCAUCGGCACGCUCUGCAACAGGGUUGGUUGAAGUUGUCGACAUGCUGGUCAAUUAUGAGGAUCUAGCAUUGUACUGGGGAUAUGCGUGUGAGAGAGAAAAGAAGAUGAUGGUAUGCAAACAAAAAGUAGAAGUGGAGCACCUGCAGGAGAUUCAUGAGGGUCUCCAUGGUUGCAGUUUUGUCAGGGCCAAUCUCAUAAGAUCUGAUCACAAAGGUCUGCCUGUAAACAA